UCUCUAGUAGCUCAGUUGGUAAAGAAUCUGCCUGCAGCGCAGGAGACCUGGGUUCAAUCCCUGGGUUGGGAA
rnacentral:tRNA from 1 species